AUCCAGCUGACGCGCCCUAAAUAGGACGAAACGCGCGUCCUGGAU
rnacentral:hammerhead_ribozyme from 1 species